AAAAAGUGUCCAGGGGACAAGGCACCUGCCCGGUAAGCAGAAGGGUGUGGGUUCGAUUCCCGCCCCUGGACACUUUUUA